rnacentral:sRNA from 1 species
UCCACCCACAACUGAGUUAUCGGGCAAGAACCUGGAGGCACGUAUCGAUGAAAGUCCCGAUCUGAAUGACCUGGCGGGAGUCAUCAUUGUAUGUUAGAACAACUUUCCAAGUUUGAAGUUGAAGAUGCUGAAAAUGUUGCUUCGUAUGAAAUAUUUGGAGUUUUCCUGGUCUUACUGGAUGUCACUCUCCUCCUUGCCGACCUAAUUUUCACUGAUAGCAAACUUUAUAUUCCUUUGGAGUAUCGUUCUAUUUCUCCAGCUAUUGCCUUAUUUUUUCUCAUGGAUGUUCUUCUUCGAAUGUUUGUAGAAAGGAGACAGCAGCAUUUUUCUGACUUAUUUAACAUUUUAGAUACCGCCAUUAUUGUGAUUCCUCUGCUGGUUGAUGUCGUUUACAUUUUUUUUGACAUUAAGUUUCUUAGGAAUAUUCCCAGGAAGUUGUGCAGUUUCUAGAAAAUAAACAUCCAAACCACUAUCGAGUCUACAAUCUAUGCAGAAGAACCAGAACUAUGGUUUGUGCCUUCCUUAUUGCCUCCGAAAUAUUUUUAACUGCAGAGGAAAGCCUGUAUUAUUUUGGAGAAAGGCAAACAGAUAAAACCCACAGGAGUAAAUUUCAGGGACUAGAAACUCCUUCUCAGGCGAUGUAUGUGAUCUAAAAUUCCUAAUAGUAAUGGAGAAGAAGGUUGUCUUUUCCGGUACUUCAUUAGGAAAUUGUUCGAUAUUGCAUGACAUUGAAACAGACAAAGUAUUAAUUGAUGUAUUCGACGGUCCACUUCUGUAUGAUGAUGUGAAAGUGCAGUUUUUCUCUUCGAAUCUUCCUAAAUACUAUGACAAUUGUCCAUUUUUCUUCUGGUUCAACACAGCUUUUAUUCAAAAUAACAG